rnacentral:rRNA from 1 species
UGGGGAAUCUUGCGCAAUGGGCGAAAGCCUGACGCAGCGACGCCGCGUGCGUGAUGAAGGCCUUCGGGUUGUAAAGCUCUGUGGGGAGAGACGAAUAAGUGCAGCCUAAUACGCUGCAUGAGGACGGUAUCCCCUUAGCAAGCACCGGCUAACUCUGUGCCCGCAGCCGCGGUAAGACAGAGGGUGCAAACGUUGUUCGGAAUUACUGGGCGUAAAGCGAGUGUAGGCGGUUUCCUAAGUCAGGUGUGAAAGCCCCGGGCUCAACCCGGGAAGUGCACUUGAAACUGGGAGGCUAGAGUAUCGGAGAGGUUGGUGGAAUUCUCGGUGUAGAGGUGAAAUUCGUAGAUAUCGAGAGGAACACCGGUGGCGAAGGCGGCCAACUGGACGAAUACUGACGCUGAGACUCGAAAGCGUGGGGAGCAAAC